UACGUAGGGACCAAGCGUUGUUCGGAUUACUGGGCGUAAAGGGCGCGUAGGCGGCGCGGUAAGUCACUUGUGAAAUCUCUGAGCUUAACUCAGAACGGCCAAGUGAUACUGCAGUGCUAGAGUGUGGAAGGGGCAAUCGGAAUUCUUGGUGUAGCGGUGAAAUGCGUAGAUAUACGGAGGAACACCUGCGGCGAAGGCGGGUAGCUGGGCCAACACUGACGCUGAGACGCGAAAGCUAGGGGAGCAAACGGG
rnacentral:rRNA from 1 species